rnacentral:rRNA from 1 species
CCACUAUGCUUAGCCCUAAACACAGAUAAUUACAAAAAACAAAAUUAUUCGCCAGAGUACUACCGACAACAGUCCGAAACUCAAAGGACUUGGCGGUGCUUUAUACCCUUCU